GACGAACCGUGCUAACGUUGUUCGGAAUCACUGGGCUUAAAGGGCGCGUAGGCGGUCUACCAAGUCGGGGGUGAAAUCUUUCGGCUUAACCGGAAAAGGGCCUUCGAUACUGGUAGACUAGAGCGAGGUAGGGGCAGGUGGAACUUCCGGUGGAGCGGUGAAAUGUGUUGAUAUCGGAAGGAACGCCGGUGGCGAAAGCGACCUGCUGGACCUCUUCUGACGCUGAGGCGCGAAAGCUAGGGUAGCGAACGGG
rnacentral:misc_RNA from 1 species